GCCGAGGUGGCGGAAUAGGCAGACGCGCUGCGUUCAGGGCGCAGUGGGCAGUGGCUCGUGUGGGUUCAAAUCCCACCCUCGGCACCA
rnacentral:tRNA from 1 species